rnacentral:rRNA from 1 species
UACGUAGGGGGCGAGCGUUGUCCGGAGUUACUGGGCGUAAAGCGCACGCAGGCGGUCUGCUAAGUUUGGAGUGACAGUCGGUGGCUUAACUGCCAAAGUGCUUCGAAAACUGACAGACUUGAGGGCUUCAGAGGGACACGGAAUUCCGGGUGGAGUGGUGAAAUGCGUAGAGAUCCGGAGGAACACCAAAGGCGAAGGCAGUGUCCUGGGGAGUACCUGACGCUCAGGUGCGAAAGCCAGGGGAGCGAACGGG